GCCAGUGCAAUGUAGUGGUUUGGGUUUUGGACUAUGACUCUGAAGACCAGGGUUCAAUUCCCAGCUUGGCCA
rnacentral:tRNA from 1 species